UGAAUAGCUCAAUUGGUUAGAGCAUGGUGCUGAUAAUGCCAAGGUUUCAAGUUCAAUCCCCAUAUGUGACAG